AUUGAAAGCUGGCGGCAGGCCUAAACCAUGCAAGUCGAGCGGAGCGGCGGACGGGUGAGUAAUGCCUAGGAAUCUGCCUGGUAGUGGGGGAGAACGUCCGGAAACGGGCGCUAAUACCGCAUACUAUCAGAUGAGCCUAGGUCGGAUUAGCUAGUUGGUGGGGUAAAGGCCUACCAAGGCGAAGAUCCGUCACUGGUCUGAGAGGAUGAUCAGUCAAACUGGAACUGAGACCCGGUCCAGACUCCGACGUGAGGCAGCAGUGGGGAAUAUUGGACAAUGGGCGAAAGCCUUAUCCAGCCAUGCCGCGUGUGUGAAGAAGGUCUUCGGAUUGUAAAGCACUUUAAGUUGGGAGGCGUUACCAACAGACUCAGCCCCGGCUAACUUCGUGCCAGCAGCCGCGGUCCUAC
rnacentral:rRNA from 1 species